rnacentral:lncRNA from 1 species
CGCGCGGAGAAGAACGUGCUCGCGAACAUGCCGAUGAUAAUACAAAAAGAGUUAAACGAAUUCCCAUGAUCCCUGUUAAAGUGAUACAAAUUUUCACGCGAAUUCGCGUACGUAAGAGACGUAAUUUUAUAGUGUCGCUUUCGGUUUGAGCGCGCUAUGGACGAUUAAUGUUGGACCGUAAUAUCGUAAAAGUUAACCGGCGUUAACUAUGUGCGCGCAAACUCGGUGAUAGCGGAGAUAAGGGAAUGCAUUUUCGAAGAAUUUUCGUUAAGAAAUGAUGAAAGUCAGAAGAAGAA